GUGGCACAUCAGAACCCACGUGGCUUUCCACCAACCUGGGUAUUCUGACCUGUAUAGAAUGUUCUGGCAUCCAUAGAGAAAUGGGAGUUCAUAUUUCUCGCAUUCAGUCUUUGGAACUAGACAAAUUAGGAACUUCUGAACUCUUGCUGGCCAAGAAUGUAGGAAACAAUAGUUUUAAUGAAAUUAUGGAAGCAAAUUUACCCAGCCCCUCCCCCAAGCCCACCCCUUCAAGUGAUAUGUAAGUAUUUCUAAUACAUUGAAUUCUUCACUAUUCUAUAACUUUUUCUAUCCU